CGCCGUGUCGGUGGCUCCGGUCAGCUCCGGGGCCUGAUGCAAGAGGGA
rnacentral:sRNA from 29 species